CUCCACGGUACCUAAGCAGAGGUGUGGGGGAAAGCAGGGAAGGGUUUCUAUGGCAAGCAAGAGCUAGACCUUCUGUCGUUAAGCGAGCAAGGGGGCCUUUUCAACGUUGUUCCAUAACUGUAUUGGAUUUGCUGCUCUAUGAGUGGCUGUUGGGUACCGUGUGAAUGAAACGAUCACAUGGGCAAGAGCCAAUUGCACUGCUUUUCCUUAUGGAAUCAGCAGCAUCCGCUCCCUGCUGCGGACAAGCCAUUUCCAUGUGGGCAAAGGAAAGUUUCAAGGGUCCCUGAAGGACCAUGGGCAGCAGGGUCUCCUAUGAGCACAGUGUGCCAAGUUUGUUAUUGUGUGACCAUAACUUACUCCCCCUUGGCUCACUCACUACUUCUCUCCGAGGAAAUACAAUCCCACCGCUGCCACCCAUGUUAUGGACUCCCUGCUUCAUUCACUCGGGUUUGGUUUCCUUUGGAUGAGAGAGCACUGACGAGUGAGGGGAAUCUCCACAUUUAGAGGCACUAUGAAUCCCAGAGCCAGGAGGCAACAUCAGGGGAAGGCCUCGGCCUCUAUGCUCAGAAGUUGACCGCCCAGAGGAAAUGGUCGAGGCCACUAUGUGAGACAAGAUGCUGGACUGGAUGCACUAUUGGUCUGAUCCAGCAGGGCUGUUCUUCUUAUGAUGAUUUAUGGCAUUUUUUGCAAUUCUGACUUUAUUUACAUAUAUGUGAGUCCUCCGAGAGAGGUUUCUUCAAGACUAUUUUGAAUCUAAGGCCAUGAUGCCAAAUUCUCUCUCAAAGUGACAUCUGAUAAGUUACAAGUAUAGCACUGAUAAAUAGCAGGUGUUUUUUUUUUCAACAGAUGGUUCUCACAACAAAAUAACAAAUCAAGAUAAUAAUUAAAUGAUGUAGAGCAUACAGUAUUUGAUUCACACAUUACAAAGUGCUCAGGUCUCACGUAUCCUGUCAAGAGACUUUUUGUGGGAGUUUUAUGCUUGGAACUUCAUGUCCAGUUGCAGACAGGUCUGAUUUGGAUCACAUUUGUGGCCUGUGGGGAGAGAAGGCUGAGGUUUUCUCUCUGUGCUGUUUUCCCAUCUUAGAACAGCCCUGGAAGAAUCUCUUUUGCCCUGUUGGGGAGACUGAAGUUCCUCCCAAGGGACAAAUACUGGGGCCCUGUAGACUGUGGUCCCAAUCCAAGUUAGGCCUGCAUGCACUCAGCAAUUAUAUUCUGAGCACAGUUUCAUAGGGUGGGUCUGCAGGCAAUAGCUAGAUUCAAGCCCAGUGUGUAAGUUUUUGAGAGUCAAAGUUCUUGUCAGGAACGGAGUUACCUCAGCUCUUAUAUCCAUCCUCCUCUAACUUUCUGACUGGGCUAUAAGAGGGAUCUCCGUUCCUCUUUGUAUCUGGCAAGGGGAGCUUUGACUCUCAAAAGCUUAUUCCCCAAAAAUCUUGGUGGUCUCUAACGGGCUGCUGGAGUGGAAUCUAGCUGUUCUGAGCACAGAAUUCAUAGAGCACAUCUGGUCAAUAGGACCCAUGGGGGACAGGAGGGCUUUGCAAUGUGUGAAUUGGCCCUGGCCCCUGCGAUUGUUCAUAACUUGUAGUCCGGGAAGAGCGAAUGUGUGUUUCAGAUGUGGUCUUGUGCUCUUUGGCCUUCUCUCACCACAAACUGUACAUGUAUAUUAUAAAAGGAAGUGUGUCUUCUAAAGAGGCAUAUAUACCUAUCUGGAAACAGAAGAAAUCCACCGCAGCGAUUGCAGACUGUAAACUCUCUGUAGCAAGAUCCAUUUGUGUACGUGCUCUCUCUGUCUGUACAUGAUCAUAGCCGUUAAACCUUUAUCCAUUUGCGAGCCCUUUUGAUAGCAAAUGUUUUUAUUUUGAAGCCUUGACAGUCCGGGAGACUGUGUUUAUAACUAUACCCAAGAUUCAGUAUUAUUUGUCUUCAUUUCUCUGUGUGAUAAGAUUUGUACAUGGUUAGUCUCCUGCUAUCAUUUUAAUAUGGAUAAUUUUAUUUUUUUUGCCAAGAUAGUUGUCUGGAGAGAGAGAAAAAAAAAGAUUGUAUAGACUGAACAGUAUUGGACUUCCAAAUAUUUUUGUGGUCAAAUAAAUCUGCUGUUGCCCCUUUAA